UGUUUUUUGCCCUCUUUGAGGCCUAUACUAUGAAGCAAGAUUUGGCGUUAAUGAGGUAACUUCAGGUUCAACCCAGGGUUUUGUGUAUCACGACGGUGGAUCACUUGUUACCAGGUUAAAUCGCCCUGGUAAUUUAUGCUGAACAGCUAACCCGCUCGGAAGCAGGUUAU